CAUGUUGUACGAGUAAGAAAAAAAAGACUAUUUACCCCCACAAUAAAAAUAUAAAUUUUUUAAUCAUUAUAAAAACAGCACAAUGCUUAAUUAUGUUUUCUAGUUUAUUUCAUAAAAGAUUUCUCAACAGGUGGUUUAAAGGGCAGUAAUCCCAACACUAAGUUCGAAGCACAUCGAGUAUCUCUGGUUCCUUCCUCCCGCUAUUCUUAUCAUGACAGUCUCGUAUUCAAGGUUCACAUAUGCCAGUUAUUUUCGAACGCCGUUCAGGCAAUAGUUUGGGCUCGAAUACUGGGCGCGAUGCAAGGUCUUUCGAUUGGGUCAGGCGAUAUUUUUGUUGCCUUUAAUAAAUCGAACAGCAAGACUUCCAAAAAUAGAUCAUGGAAGACAUUCUAUCUGUUUUCCAAGAAGGUCAGGUACAUAUUUAAUGAUUAUGAUAGUUCUAAUAGAAACUAGGAUGAAUAUCCUUAUGCAGUUGGUGGGGAGUGGUAUCCCAGAUUCUUGCCUCGCAACAUAUUCGCUUUUGCGAGAUUUUUCAUGACUGGUAUGAAUUAAUUCACGCAGUUCCUGCUUUGUUAAUUUUUCACCCCCUUUCUUGUAUUAGCUGCUAAAAUUUUAACUUAAGAAUUUUAAUUCUACUACUCCUAUUAGAAUGAAUACUGUAUUUGUUUUAGUGCAUGUUUACUUGUUAUUUUUUCAAACUAGUGUGUUUUCUUUCGCUCCAAAUUUUUUCUGGCCAAAUAUAAAAAUUGGCGAUGAUAGAGAGGGCCUUUUGAUGCAAAAAGGCUUCUUUCAUGAAUCCAACGACUCACGCAUCAGCAUCUAGUCAGUCUACAACCUGUUUUGCAUGCAAAUUAUGUGGCACCUGUGCGUUACGACCAACAUGGACCCUAAUGCUGCAAUGGUGCAUUCCAUGUGGGGUGAUUGUAGCGAGGCAGAAGUCCUCAAGACAUGCAAAGACCAGAUGAAGAGGUUCACUUCACGACCCUUGACAUCUUAUGGCCUUUCACGCUGGUCUGAAGAGAUCGAGAGGAUAAUUUCUGAGACCCAAAGGACCCACAAAAAGUAUGCUCCACUCCUGACGCUAGGGGCUGAAAAGCGUCCUCUGUGGAGCUUCCCAGGUCAGUCCUCGAUAUAAAUGGUGAGAACAUUCAUUUGGUAAGUCUUCGAAUUUCUCCGAGACCAUCCCAAAACAGUUUUCAUUCAUAGGCCGCGACUCAUGGGAGCCCAAAAAGAAAAGGAAAACUCCACUUGCAACCUCCGAUGAAGAUUCUGAUGAUGGGAGAGCUUUAGCGUCCCAAUUCAAUAUUUAGAGGAGAUAAUCCAUCGGCCCUUAAGCCAAAAAAUCUCUUGGCGUGGACUUAAGUUUUGCGCCUCGUAUAUUACCAGGUUUCGUUCCACCAUCCGCUAGCCAAGAUGGGCGACCCAAAAGCACAACUCAGACUAUUGCCCCUGUUUCAGGAUCUGCGAGUGUCGUGCAAGUGGCUUCUAGCACUUUGGGCUUCUGGUAGUGUGUCCCCCGGUUCAGUUUCAGUGCACCCUACUAUCUCUAAAUCUUUGAACAUCGGAUCGACUCAAAUAGCUAAUCGUCCUGUUGUUGUGGUAUCCGUGGUUGCUGUUACUGUUUCAACUAUUUAUCUACCUCCUGCUCUGCCAACAACUUCUUCAAGGGUUCCUUCACCAGUAGUUUUGGGAGGGGUCUGGUUCCUCAAAGAGGGGCCCGACUUCUUUGAAAAAGAGCCAAUUUUUAGAUAAUUUGUUUGCUAGUGUUGAGGAUUCUUCAGAGACAGGAGAGACUCACGUUUGCCCAAGAGAGAAUGCCCCAGAGAAGAGUUCUUCUGCAGAAGCUCCUUCUAACCCGGCACCACCCCAAUUAAUUUUGUCUUCGGGCUUCAACUCACCAACUGAAUAUAUAAAUCAGCUAGCUUCGACUGUGGUGAACACCCCAAAAUUCAUGUCCAGCGAAUUGGGCUGCGAGGAGGAAGGCAAUGUUGAAGUUGUUGUGUCUAUAAGUAUGCAACAGAGGACCCAGAUCGAUGUUGUUUCCCUGUUUCCCCCAGGGCUUCUAAAGUAAGCUCCCCCCAGAUGUCACAGCCAUGCAUAGUGUGGUUAUGUCAUUGCCUGCGUUACCCUUGGUGGAUGCUAUAAGGGUUGUAAUGGAAAUUCCCACCACACAAUCGGAGACCAGUUUGACUGUUGUAUUUGAUGCCCCUCCUGCCUCUAUUCUUGGUGAGAGAGUAGAGGCAGUUGCUAUUACCACAAAGGAUGGUGUGGUGGCGAGUUAACUCAGGGAGGCAGAUAUACUUCGCGCGGCUGUGGUGCACUUUCCAGAGGAGUUGUUGGCAAGGACAAAUGAUAUCUUUAAAGUUGAUAAGGCGAUGCGUGAGAAAUUAACUUUGGGUUGUUUUUACUCUGACAUACUGAUGCGUUACGAGUUGUCGAUCAGAGAAAAAUAGGUUGAUUUGGUGGAAGAGGAAAAGAAGAGAGUAACAGAGUUGGAAGCCCAGUUGGCGGAGGCUCUGCGUGCUUUGAGGCAGGAAAAAGGGAAAAUGCAAAAAAAGAAAAAGAAAACGAUUGAUAGAAGAAAUGGCGGCAGAGGCCGAUAGUCAUGGCACAGAGCUGAUGAAUCUUAAGCUGGAGAUGAAGAAGGUUGUAAAAGAUAAGGAGGUAGUGCAUAAAAAUUUGGAUUCUGCCGAAGAGUUUGUUAGAGUUGUGAGAGGUAAAUUUGAAGGAGCGGAGAGGCUCCGAAUUGUUGCACUUGCAGAAAGAGAUGCAGAAAAACAAAUGCUGGGUGAUCCACAGGAAAAGCUGAAGGGGGCAAAAGGGCAUGUGAAUGACCUUCUGCAAGACAUCAAACAAGUCUAUGUAGAAAAAACUUGGGAGCAUAUUCGAGACCAAGAAAUUGCAGAGAAGGUAAAUAUCCAAAUCGAUGAGGUGGAAUUGGCCAAGCAUAUGGACGUGAUCCUUAAUGAUGAUAAGAGGUCGCUUUCCCAGAAGAGAGACGUGCCUAUUUAAUAAUGCAGAUCGUUUAACAUCAUACUUGAUGAUUUCAAUUUGGAGCAUUAAUGAACCGCAUCAUUUGUUUUAUCUCUUUUUUUUUGUAGCUAUUGGUUUGUGAUUUUUUGGUUUAUUUUUAUAUAAACAAUACUGGCAUCGUAUAGUUUUGCUAGAAUUUUGACGUGCUGAUAAAUAGAGUUAAUAUUGGAGUA